rnacentral:rRNA from 1 species
UACGUAGGGACCAAGCGUUGUCCGGAAUCAUUGGGCGUAAAGCGCGCGUAGGUGGCCAUUUAAGUCCGCUGUGAAAGUCAAAGGCUCAACCUUUGAAAGCCGGUGGAUACUGGGUGGCUAGAGUACGGAAGAGGCGAGUGGAAUUCCUGGUGUAGCGGUGGAAUGCGCAGAUAUCAGGAGGAACACCAAUAGCGAAGGCAGCUCGCUGGGACGGUACUGACGCUGAGACGCGAAAGCGUGGGGAGCGAACAGG